UACAGAGGUCUCAAGCGUUGUUCGGAUUCACUGGGUUUAAAGGGUGCGUAGGAGGGCAGGUAAGUCAGUGGUGAAAUCCUAGAGCUUAACUCUAGAACUGCCGUUGAUACUAUCUGUCUUGAAUAUUGUGGAGGUGAGCGGAAUAUGUCAUGUAGCGGUGAAAUGCUUAGAUAUGACAUAGAACACCAAUUGCGAAGGCAGCUCGCUACACAUAUAUUGACUCUGAGGCACGAAAGCGUGGGGAUCAAACAGG
rnacentral:rRNA from 1 species